UACGUAGGGUGCAAGCGUUAAUCGGAAUUACUGGGCGUAAAGCGUGCGCGGGCGGUUUUGUAAGUCUGACGUGAAAUCCCCGGGCUCAACCUGGGAAUUGCGUUGGAGACUGCAAGGCUAGAGUCUGGCAGAGGGGGGUAGAAUUCCACGUGUAGCAGUGAAAUGCGUAGAGAUGUGGAGGAACACCGAUGGCGAAGGCAGCCCCCUGGGUCAAGACUGACGCUGAGGCGCGAAGGCUAGGGGAGCGAACGGG
rnacentral:rRNA from 1 species